GGCUCCACGCGCAGAACCACGCGCAGACCCGCGCGCCGCCGCCGCCGCCGCCGCCGCCGCACACAUGCACGCGGGAGGGGGGGAGCGAACGGGCGGCGGCUGCCUCCACCCGGAAAGGCGUCCUGCGCUCCAGCUCGCGGCUGUCAGCACGUGCAACAGCCUGCGCCUUCCACGAGCGCCGAGACGUCGGAAAAACAGUCGCUCUUCUCCGUCAAAGUUCACUUCCUCCUCCUCGCUCCCCUGAGCAGCUUGCACGCGCACGCACACCCAAAAGUGAAUGCCAACACCCCAAAGUUCUCGGGAGAAAAGUCUAGUAAGGAAUUGGGAAUCCCCGAGGGGGUGGGGGCUGUUGUGGCCGGAGCGCCCUGGAGGUUGGGGACGGGGCGGCCGGGGGCGCGCGCGCGCGCGUCGGGGCGCUCCGGGGGCCCCUCGCCGGGAAAGCUCCGCGAGGCCGAGCCGCCGCGCCCCGCUCGCACCCCGGCAGACACCCCGCGGCCCGCGGCGGACCGACUUCCUGACCACUUUCCUCCACUUUUCCGGGGCUCUCUACUUCUCCCGCUCCUCUCCAAGGCGUCGGCCAAUCUCCCCGACACCGGGCGGCGAAGUGAGGGGGGACCCAAACCAGCGCGGUCCCCUACUUCUCUCCACGGCAACCACCCCUGUGCGGCGGGAGCGCCGGGUCCUCCGGGCCGCGGGAGCGCGUGGGGGGCGGAGCGCGGCCCGGCCUGGUGGCCGCUCCCCGCCGCGCCCCCUCGGCCCCCGCGGAGCCGGCGGACGCUCGGGCGCGCGGUGCCGGCAACCGAGCUUGGUUUUGGCCCCGGCCGUUCCUUGCCGCCGCCGCCUCCCGCUCCUGUGUCCGUGAAUCGCAGACCCGUACUUUCGGCGCUAGCUCGUCCAGGAAGGCGGGAGGGUGCGGUCCUGGCUGAGAGGUUCGGCCUUUCCCUUUUUCCUUUCCGCGCGGAGGGGGGAGAGGAGGCUCGGCGGGGCCCGCGGCGCGAAGGUGCGCGCCCUGCUCGGGGUGCGGGGCCCGGGGCGUCCGCCGCGCCCGCUGCUCUCGGGCUCCGGCGGCCGCGCUCCCGCGGCGGGCGAGGGCGCAGGCGGGCCGGGUCGCCGGGGGCGAGGCGGGCGGGCGCGAGUGCUCGCGGCUCCGUAAGCCGGGAGCCCUCCCGCCCAUCCCGACCGCUGCGCUUGCAAACUUCCUCGAGCUUCUGGAGGGAGUGA
rnacentral:lncRNA from 1 species